AAUCAACGCUGGCGGCGUGCCUAACACAUGCAAGUCGCACGAGAAAGCGGACUUCGGUCUGUGAGUACAGUGGCGCACGGGUGAGUAACACGUGACUAACCUACCUCCGAGUGGGGAAUAACCUAGGGAAACCUGGGCUAAUACCGCAUAACACUCAAGAGUCAAAGCAGCAAUGCGCUUGGAGAGGGGGUCGCGGCAGAUUAGCUAGUUGGCGGGGUAAUGGCCCACCAAGGCAAUGAUCUGUAUCCGGCCUGAGAGGGCGCACGGACACACUGGAACUGAAACACGGUCCAGACUCCUACGGGAGGCAGCAGUGGGGAAUUUUGCGCAAUGGGGGAAACCCUGACGCAGCAACGCCGCGUGGAGGAUGAAGUCUCUUGGGACGUAAACUCCUUUCGAUUGGGAAGAUAAUGACGGUACCAAUAGAAGAAGCCCCGGCUAACUUCGUGCCAGCAGCCGCGGUAAGGCACGACUGU
rnacentral:rRNA from 1 species